UGCAUCACCUUGGAUGGUGGUUUUGUCGUCUUGUGCGAUGGAGUGUUGGCUUCUUGAAUACGUUUUGGUUUUCAUUCUUUGACAGUGGCUUCGAGCGGUGAUCUUGUCGUAUUCGUUGUUGCACUUUUUUACGUCUUUUCUUAUGUUUUGUUUUGUUCUCUUUUUGCUUUCUUUUCUGGUGUCGAGCUGAUCGGGGGGUGGUUCGCUCUCGGUGUGUUGGGGUGAAUGUUUUCCUGGUUCUCCGUGGUGGUUUUUGGGCCGUUCUUUCUUCGACGACUGGUGCACCUGGAUCAGUGUUGAUUCGGAGUGAUGGUGGCGGUCCUUAUGUCCGGGCUUCCUCUCGGUUUUUCUUUAUCUUGUUUAGUUCUUUUUCUGUCUUGUAAUUUUGCUCCAGUUUAUGUUAUCUUGUAAAAGGAUUGUAUAAAGAACUGUUUAAUAUUUUGUUUUGGUUUGUUCUUUUUUCCUUUUGUUUCGUUGUUGUGUUUGUGUGAUUGCUGGGUUUUUCGAUUGUUUUUUCUGUUCAUGAUGCUUUCCUGCUGUAGUUACUAAAUUUCAGCUUUUGGUUCUUGUGCUGUUAUUUUUUCUUGUGUCUUUUGUCUUUGGUACCGUGGUUUAGUGGCUCUUUCCGGUUGCGGUUGGGGGAGGUGGCCUUGAUUUGACUUGGUGCUCGUUGGACUGUUUCUUCGACGGUGUGCACAUCUGAAACUAAGCUCCGAUAAGAAUGAUCUGUUGAAAAUUCUCGAAGGGAGGGUCUCCCUUCAAGGCAGCGACCGGCGAUCAGCCACACCCAGAGCUAUGAAAAUCUUUUGUUGGAACUGCCGUGGGGGAGGGAGCCCUGCGAAAGUUUGUGAGUUGAGACAACUUCUUGCUAUUAAUGAUCCUAAUAUUGUCUUUCUAAGUGAAACUAAGCUUCGGGCUAACGAGUUCGAACAUAUUCGAGUUUGAUAGGGUUAACGUGACUAUUCAGAAUUACUUUGAGCAUCAUGUGGAUUCUGUGGUUAAAAUAGAGGGGAAUGAUUAAAUUUGUUUUAUGGGCUUCUAUGGUUACCCCAACCCUAAUUAGAGACAUUUGUCGUGGAGCACUAUUCGGAGGGUUGGGACUCUUAUGAGUAGGGAUUGAGUUAUUGGGGGGAUUUCAAUGAGGUGAUGGAUGAUGCAGAGAAGUGUGGGGGGAGCACAGGCCUAGAGUGGCCAUGGAUAACUUCCGAAUGGUUAUGGAUGAGCUUGCCUUGGUUGAUGUCAAGCCCGAUAAUGUAAUAUCCUUAACCCGUUUUCGUUGUCGAAUUAGGGUUACAGAGUAUUACUGUCUAGGCAAUAAUAUUAAACAUCAUAACAUUCAAUAACAUAAAUAUAUCAUAAACCAUUCAUUCACAUACAUUUCGUCCCUAAAUCGAGCCUUUGAGGCCCUAGAAAUAGCUUGGAAGCAAUUCAGGACUAAUUUGAAACAAAAUAGAAAGUUUAGGAAAAAGUUGCAAAAAUUAGAAACAAGGGUCACACGGCCGUGUGGAAUCACCCCAGGUCGUGUAACUUUUGUACAAGGGACACACGGCCGUGUUUCAACUCGUGUCCUCACCCGUGUAACUCACUAAGUAGGGUCAUACGACCGUGUCACACGUUUGUGUGUUAGGUCGUGUAACUCUCUGAGUUGCCCCACACGCCCGUCUGUUAGGCCGCGUAACUCACUGACUUGAAUACUAAGGAACUCCCAUAUGACACACGACUAUGUCGUCAGGCCGUGUGCCUCACAUGGCUGGGUCACACACCUGUGUUCCAAGCCGCAUGAACCCAAAAAUACCUAUUUCAAGCCUAUUCCUCACUUAUUUUCACAAGUUCAUACAUUAUGACUUGAUAUGCAUAAACAAGCUUUCAUAAACACCAA
rnacentral:lncRNA from 1 species